CGGACUGGCGGCGUGCCUAACACAUGCAAGUCGAACGGAGAUUAACGCUGAUGAAGCUUCGGCAGAUUCUUGUUAAAUCUUAGUGGCGGACGGGUGAGUAACGCGUGGGCAACCUGCCUCAUACUGGGGGAUAACAGCUGGAAACGACUGUUAAUACCGCAUAAGCGCACAGCAUCGCAUGAUGCAGUGUGAAAAAACUCCGGUGGUAUGAGAUGGGCCCGCGUCAGAUUAGCCAGUUGGCAGGGUAACGGCCUACCAAAGCGACGAUCUGUAGCCGGCCUGAGAGGGCGGACGGCCACAUUGGGACUGAGACACGGCCCAAACUCCUACGGGAGGCAGCAGUGGGGGAUAUUGCACAAUGGAGGAAACUCUGAUGCAGCGACGCCGCGUGAAGUGAAGAAGUAUUUCGGUAUGUAAAGCUCUAUCAGCAGGGAAGAAAGACUCGUAAGAGAGAUGACGGUACCUGACUAAGAAGCCCCGGCUAACUACGUGCCAGCAGCUGC
rnacentral:rRNA from 1 species